rnacentral:rRNA from 1 species
AUGAACGCUGGCGGCGUGCUUAACACAUGCAAGUCGAACGAAGCACUUUAUUUGAUUUCCUUCGGGACUGAUUAUUUUGUGACUGAGUGGCGGACGGGUGAGUAACGCGUGGGUAACCUGCCUUGUACAGGGGGAUAACAGUUGGAAACGGCUGCUAAUACCGCAUAAGCGCACAGCAUCGCAUGAUGCAGUGUGAAAAACUCCGGUGGUAUAAGAUGGACCCGCGUUGGAUUAGCUAGUUGGUGAGGUAACGGCCCACCAAGGCGACGAUCCAUAGCCGACAUGAGAGGGUGACCGGCCACAGUGGGACUGAGACACGGACAAAACUCCUACGGGAGGCAGCAGUGGGGAAUAUUGCACAAUGGGCGAAAGCCUGAUGCAGCGACGCAGCGUGAGCGAAGAAGUAUUUCGGUAUGUAAAGCUCUAUCAGCAGGGAAGAUAAUGACGGUACCUGACUAAGAAGCACCGGCUAAAUACGUG